CUUUUGAGUAUAAUUUAAGGUCUAGCCUGCCCAAUGAUAAGAUUAAAUGGCCGCGGUNUCUUAACCGUGCAAAGGUAGCAUAAUAAUUAGUUUUUUAAUUGAAAGCUUGUAUGAAAGGUUGAAUGAAAAAAUCACUGUCUCUGUUUAAAUUUAUUAGAAUUUUAUUUUUAAGUNAAAAAGCUUAAAUAUAUAUAGAAGACGAGAAGACNCUAUAGAGUNUUAUACUUUUUUUUAUUUAGUNNUUUAGAAUUUUAAUUUUAUAUAGAAAAUAGUAUUUAAUUGGGGUGAUUAANAAAUUAGAUAAACUUUUUUUUAUAWUAAACAUUAAUUAAUGAGUGUUUGAUCCUUUAUUNRAGAUUAAAAGAUAAAAUUACNNUAGGGAUAACAGCGUAAUUNUUUUUGAGAGUUCUAAUCGAAAAAAAAGAUUGCGACCUCGAUGUNGGAUUAAAAUAAAUUUUUGGUGUAGAAGC
rnacentral:rRNA from 1 species